UAAUCACCAAAACAAUGGGAAAAAUGUC
rnacentral:piRNA from 1 species